rnacentral:rRNA from 1 species
CUACGGGUCGCUGCAGUGGGGAAUCUUGCACAAUGGAGGAAACUCUGAUGCAGCGAUGCCGCGUGAGUGAAGAAGGCCCUUGGGUUGUAAAGCUCUUUCGUCGGGGAAGAAAAUGACUGUACCCGAAUAAGAAGGUCCGGCUAACUUCGUGCCAGCAGCCGCGGUAAUACGAAGGGACCUAGCGUAGUUCGGAAUUACUGGGCUUAAAGAGUUCGUAGGUGGUUGAAAAAGUUAGUGGUGAAAUCCCAGAGCUUAACUCUGGAACUGCCAUUAAAACUUUUCAGCUAGAGUAUGAUAGAGGAAAGCAGAAUUUCUAGUGUAGAGGUGAAAUUCGUAGAUAUUAGAAAGAAUACCAAUUGCGAAGGCAGCUUUCUGGAUCAUUACUGACACUGAGGAACGAAAGCAUGGGUAGCGAAGAGGAUUAGAUACCCGAGUAGUC